rnacentral:rRNA from 1 species
GCGAAAACUUUACAAUGCUGGCAACAGCGAUAAGGGAACCUCGAGUGCCAGGUUACAAAUCUGGCUGUCGGGAUGCCUAAAAAGCAUUUCAUAGCAAGGGCCGGGCAAGACCGGUGCCAGCCGCCGCGGUAACACCGGCGGCUCGAGUGGUAACCGUUAUCAUUGGGUCUAAAGGGUCUGUAGCCGGCCGGAUAAGUCUCUUGAGAAAUCUGGCAGCUUAACUGUCAGGCUUUCAGGAGAUACUGUCUGGCUCGAGGCCGGGAGAGGUGAGAGGUACUUCAGGGGUAGGGGUGAAAUCUUGUAAUCCUUGAAGGACCACCAGUGGCGAAGGCGUCUCACCAGAACGGACCUGACGGCAAGGGACGAAAGCUAGGGGCACGAACC